AUUUAGACGCGAUACUUUUUUUCCGCGAGUUAUCUUAGAAGGUGUCUGUUAAAAUAAGCGAGGGAAAAAAAAAACCCGGACCAGAAUACUUGCAUUCCUAAACAGCGUACUUCUUUUAUUGCAACAUGCGCCGUUAAUUUCCUUAAUUCAGAGAGGGGGGGAAUAAUUAAACAGCACUUUUUUUAACAAAAAAGAGAAAGUGGAGGAGGGUAGUAGUGGUCUAUUAUCCUGCGACUGAACUUCAAAGGAAGGACACGCCGCUUUCUCCGGGUACAGGAGUGCUGGGAUGGGGGCCCCCCCUCUCCUCACAACGGUCAAGGGCCAAGGCAGGCCUCUCCCGACGGGAGCAGGGCUGGAGAGCACCGGGCUGAAACCCGACACCCCCCAGAAACGGCUCACGUCGACGCGCCCGGCUCCCCUUCCCUGCCCGGUACGUGCCAGCUCCCCCCCUGCGCAAUGGCUGUUGCGCGCACCGGCCUCGGCUCCCGGCGCAGGAAUGAGGAACCCGGCAUUCCUCGUUUCACAGAGCAACACAAAAAGCAGGUGUGUUACAGAGGGAGUGCGCACCACUGAGGCUGCGCAGUGACUCUUCUGCCCCCGCUGCUUCUCUGCACCAGCCCCAGGAAGACCACAACGAGCAGCCCAGCGCCUUCCACCUUUAAGACCGGAGCUCGGCAGAGAUCCCAUCUCCAUGCCCACGUCUCCUCUCUCCUCGGCCUCUCACGCUGCCCCCGCGGUGGAGCCAGUCUCCCGGGGGCAUCAGGGCUGCGCCACCUCCAGACGCCCCUGCUCUGCCCUCACCUGCUGCAGCUGUAGCGGCCCGCAGUGCUCCACUGAGCUCCGGACACGUCACUCUGCCGGCCAUUAAGUCACUCUUAAAGAACUGUUUUGCAUCGACGGAUAAGUAGAUAAGUAAAUUAAUAAGUAAAUUAGAUGUCAGAUAAGUAAAUGAAUGAUGGCUGAAAAACGAGCAACUUUCCGGUGCAGGGCUUUUUGUGAUGCAGACUUUGCUUGAAUAGGGCCUGAGAAAAAACAGGGGGUACCCAAUACUAUCCCAUCAGGUGAACCCCCCUAUUAAGCCAGUGCUUGUAAUGGGGGGUCUCUCUGCAAGAAAGUGUAAAUGGGUGGAGUAGCAAAAUUAGCAAACUGCCAUUGUGAAGUAACCGUAAUACAACAGGAAGAGAGUCUAAUGAUAAAGAACACAGGUAAGAACAAAGUGUAUUUAAAAAAGACAACACAUGCGCUUUAUACAGAGGGUUGUGGGAGUAUAGAACAAGCUACCCAGACAU